CCUGUUUGAUGGGGGCACCCUGAUCAGCAUGCCGCGUGUGUGAAGAAGGCCUUCGGGUUGUAAAGCACUUUUGUCCGGAAAGAAAUCGCACUUACUAAUAUUAGGUGUGGAUGACGGUACCGGAAGAAUAAGGACCGGCUAACUACGUGCCAGCAGCCGCGGUAAUACGUAGGGUCCAAGCGUUAAUCGGAAUUACUGGGCGUAAAGCGUGCGCAGGCGGUUGUGCAAGACCGAUGUGAAAUCCCCGGGCUUAACCUGGGAAUUGCAUUGGUGACUGCACGGCUAGAGUGUGUCAGAGGGGGGUAGAAUUCCACGUGUAGCAGUGAAAUGCGUAGAGAUGUGGAGGAAUACCGAUGGCGAAGGCAGCCCCCUGGGAUAACACUGACGCUCAUGCACGAAAGCGUGGGGAGCAAACAGGAUUAGAUACCCUGGUAGUCCACGCCCUAAACGAUGUCAACUAGUUGUUGGGGAUUCAUUUCCUUAGUAACGUAGCUAACGCGUGAAGUUGACCGCCUGGGGAGUACGGUCGCAAGAUUAAAACUCAAAGGAAUUGACGGA
rnacentral:rRNA from 1 species